rnacentral:lncRNA from 1 species
GCAGCGCCCCGCCUACUCAAGCCUCUCCCCGCCUCUUUCCUGUUUCUCGCCCCCCGUCCAGGACUCGCUCCGCCCUCCGUCCGGCCUCGUCCCACCUCCUCGGGCAUCGCCCCGCCCUCCGCUAGGCUCCGCCCCACCCCGGAUGCUGUCUGGCGCCAGGAGGGGCUGGCGGAGGGUGUCUCCUCCGUGAGGUCGACUGAAACUUUCGCGACCCACGACCCUUGGGCUUGGGGCGCCCGGGUUAAAUGUUAUCUACAGCUACGUUCCAGGUCAAAGGGUCAGUUAGCCAUCACCUUAAACAACAAGACUUACGGGAAAGUUACUGUUGCUCAGCUGUUUCAUCUUGCUCUUGACUGGAUGUCUGCAAUACACAGAAAACAUGCAUGAAAAGCAUCUCCACACACAGGCAUGCCAGGGGCAGGCUCUUCAUACCCACAUCCUGCGGUGGCAGCCCGAGCACCUUACUUCUCCACGAGUCAGGAACUCACCCCAGCUCCUCCCUCCCCUGUCCUGGGAGGUGCCUGUGGUGAGGGGGCACCUUGCAUUUCAUCCAUGUUUGCUCGAUGAUUGACUGAUUGAUCAUCCAUCCAACUUUUCCCAUUCCCCACCCAACAUGUUGGCCAAGUCCUUUUAAACCCUCUAAGCCUAAGUUCAUCUGUAAAAUGUGAGUGUUUAUCAAGAUGAUCUAUGAUUCCUUUUCACCCUAAUGUCUAUGAGUCCAUAUUCCCAUUUCAGACUGGAGGCAGAUUAUUUAAAAAAAAAAAAAAUCCAUUUACAGUUUCAAAUAAAACAAACAAAUGACUUUGACUAAUGGGGAAAGAAAAGCGCUGCUUUCUUCCCCAGGCUUUAAGGCUUAUUUCAGACAGAAAAUCUCUUCAGUGUUG